rnacentral:rRNA from 1 species
AUUGAACGCUGGCGGCAUGCCUUACACAUGCAAGUCGAACGGUAACGCGGGGCAACCUGGCGACGAGUGGCGAACGGGUGAGUAAUGCAUCGGAACGUGCCCAGUAGUGGGGGAUAGCCCGGCGAAAGCCGGAUUAAUACCGCAUACGACCUACGGGUGAAAGGGGGGGAUCGCAAGACCUCUCGCUAUUGGAGCGGCCGAUGUCAGAUUAGGUAGUUGGUGGGGUAAAGGCCUACCAAGCCGACGAUCUGUAGCUGGUCUGAGAGGACGAACGGCCACACUGGGGCUGAGACACGGCCCAGACUCCUGGGGGAGGCAGCAGUGGGGAAUUUUGGACAAUGGGCGCAAGCCUGAUCCAGCCAUGCCGCGUGCGGGAAGAAGGCCUUCGGGUUGUAAACCGCUUUUGUCAGGGAAGAAAUCUUCUGGGUUAAUACCUCGGGAGGAUGACGGUACCUGAAGAAUAAGCACCGGCUAACUACGUGCCAGCCGCCGCGGUAAUAC